rnacentral:sRNA from 1 species
CAGUGUCUUUGGGCGUCUUCUUGACUGAAUCUGACUCCAUUGGAGGCUGUGAUCCAUGGAACCCAGUGACAUGCCUGCUGGCUACCACUGCCCCUUAGACUCUGCCCCCCAGGAUGAGACCAGAGACCCCCAGAGCACAGAGCUGAUCCCCAGAAGAGCCAUCAGCCGCUCUCCAACCUGCGCCCGCUGCCGCAACCACGGUGUCACUGCCUACCUCAAGGGCCACAAGCGCCUCUGCCUCUUCCAGGCUUGCGAGUGUCACAAAUGUGUCCUCAUCCUGGAGCGCCGCAGGGUCAUGGCUGCCCAGGUGGCCUUGCGUAGGCAGCAGGAGGCGCAGCUAAAGAAGCACCUGAUGAGGAGAGGGGAAGCCUCUCCCAAAGCUCCCAACCACUUCAGAAAGGGAACCACUCAACCACAGGUCCCCCCUGGAAAGGAGAACAUAGCACCCCAGCCUCAGACACCCCAUGGGGCAGUCCUGCUGGCACCGACACCCCCUGGGAAGCCUUAUACCCAACUCCAGCCUGUGCCCUCUGCCCCUGCAGAACUCCUGUGGGCCUCUGCUGCUCA